GUGGGGAAUAUUGGACAAUGGGCGAAAGCCUGAUCCAGCCAUGCCGCGUGUGUGAAGAAGGUCUUCGGAUUGUAAAGCACUUUAAGUUGGGAGGAAGGGCAGUAAGUUAAUACCUUGCUGUUUUGACGUUACCGACAGAAUAAGCACCGGCUAACUUCGUGCCAGCAGCCGCGGUAAUACGAAGGGUGCAAGCGUUAAUCGGAAUUACUGGGCGUAAAGCGCGCGUAGGUGGUUUUGUAAGUUGGAGGUGAAAUCCCCGGGCUCAACCUGGGAACUGCCUACAAAAAUGCAUGACUCGAGUACGGUAGAGGGUAGUGGAAUUUCCUGUGUAGCGGUGAAAUGCGUAGAUAUAGGAAGGAACACCAGUGGCGAAGGCGACUACCUGGACUGAUACUGACGCUGAGGUACGAAAGCGUGGGGAGCAAACAGGAUUAGAAACCCGGGUAGUCC
rnacentral:rRNA from 1 species